AAUGCACCAAUUUGUUAAUCGCUCUGGAUAAGAGCGUCUGCUAAAUGACUUAAA
rfam:Salmo salar isolate Sally breed double haploid chromosome ssa10, whole genome shotgun sequence.